rnacentral:rRNA from 1 species
GGCGGCUGGAUCAGGCAUGCAAAGUCGAGCGCGAAUCCGGUCUUCGGACCGAUAGUAGGGCGGCGAACGGGUGAGUAACACGUGAGUAACCUGCCCCUGGAUCCGGGAUAGCCCCGGGAAACCGGGAUUAAUACCGGAUGCGGCCUUUCCCCUGCAUGGGGGAUCGGCCAAAGGGUUAAGUACCGUCCGGGGAUGGGCUCGCGGCCCAUUAGCUUGUCGGUGAGGUAACGGCUCACCGAGGCUGAGACGGGUAGCUGGUCUGAGAGGAUGAUCAGUCACACUGGCACUGAGACACUGGCCGGACUCCUACGGGAGGCUGCAGUCGAGAAUCUUCGGCAAUGGGCGCAAGCCUGACCGAGCGAUGCCGCGUGGGUGAAGAAGGCCUUCGGGUCGUAAAGCCCUGUCACCCGGGACGAAGCCUGACGGUACCGGGAGAGGAAGCCACGGCUAACUACGUGCCAGCAGCCGCAGUAACACGUAGGUGGCGAGCGUUAUUCGGAAUUACUGGGCGUAAAGGGUCCGCAGGGGGUUUGCCAAGUCUGCUGUGGAAGCCCGCGGCUCAACCGCGGAAGUGCAGUGGAAACUGGCGAACUGGAGUGCACGAGAGGAGAGCGGAAUUCCCGGUGUAGCGGUGGAAUGCGUAGAUAUCGGGAAGAACAUCGACGGCGAAGGCAGCUCUCUGGCGUGUCACUGACCCUCAGGGACGAAAGCGUGGGCAGCGAACAGGAUUAGAUACCCUGGUAGUCCACGCCGUAAACGUUGUGCACUCGAUGCGGGCGGCAGCCCCGUCCGUGUCCAAGUCAACGCGUUAAGUGCACCGCCUGGGGACUACGGCCGCAAGGCUAAAACUCAAAGGAAUUGACGGGGGCCCGCACAACCGGUGGAGCAUGUGGCUCAAUUCGAGGCUACGCGAAGAACCUUACCCGGGCUUGACAUAUACCGGCUUCUCUGUGAAAGCAGGGUUCCGCCUUGUGCGGACCGGUAUACAGGUGCUGCAUGGCU